rnacentral:rRNA from 1 species
AUUGAACGCUGGCGGCAGGCCUAACACAUGCAAGUCGGACGGUAGCACAGAGAGCUUGCUCUUGGGUGACGAGUGGCGGACGGGUGAGUAAUGUCUGGGGAUCUGCCCGAUAGAGGGGGAUAACCACUGGAAACGGUGGCUAAUACCGCAUAACGUCGCAAGACCAAAGAGGGGGACCUUCGGGCCUCUCACUAUCGGAUGAACCCAGAUGGGAUUAGCUAGUAGGCGGGGUAAUGGCCCACCUAGGCGACAAUCCCUAGCUGGACUGAGAGGAUGACCAGCCACACUGGAACUGAGACACGGUCCAGACUCCUACGGGGGGCAGCAGUGGGGAAUAGUGGACAAUGGGCGCAAGCCUGAUGCAGCCAUGCCGCGUGUAUGAAGAAGGCCUUCGGGUUGUAAAGUACUUUCAGCGGGGAGGAAGGCGGUGAAGUCAAUAACCUCGCCGAUUGACGUUACCCGCAGAAGAAGCACCGGCUAACUCCGUGCCAGCCGCCGCCGUAA